rnacentral:rRNA from 1 species
UGGUGGCCUCAGGUCAUCCGAGUUGUAAUCUAUAGAAGUGUUUUCCGUGCUGGCUCAUGUACAAGUCCCUUGGAACAGGGCGUCAUAGAGGGUGAGAAUCCCGUCCUUGACAUGAACUACCAGUGCUCUGUGAUACAUUUUCAACGAGUCGAGUUGUUUGGGAAUGCAGCUCAAAAUGGGUGGUAAAUUCCAUCUAAAGCUAAAUAUUGGCGAGAGACCGAUAGCGAACAAGUACCGUGAGGGAAAGAUGAAAAGCACUUUGGAAAGAGAGUUAAACAGUAUGUGAAAUUGUUGAAAGGGAAACGAUUGAAGUCAGUCGUGCUCUUUGGAUUCAGCCGGUUCUGCCGGUGUACUUCCUUUGAGUGGGGUCAACAUCAGUUUUGAUCGCUGGAUAAAGGCUGGAGGAACGUAGUACCCUCGGGUAAACUUAUAGCCUCCUGUCACAUACAGUGG